rnacentral:lncRNA from 1 species
GAGGCGGUGGCACUGCUGGCGUGCGUGACGGCCACGCUCCUGCUGCCGCCGCUGCUACUGCCCCCGCUCCUGCCGCCACCGCCACUCUUCCUGCUCGUGCCCAUCGCAUCUUCGCCGUCUUGGUCCUGCUCGUGCUUGUCCCCUCCGACACCAGGGGCGCCACCACGCCCGACUCCUCCUAUAGCUAGCUACCUGAUUAGAUUGGGCAGCCGGCCUUGACUCGAUGUGCUCGUCUUGUAGCUGCAGCAACACUUCAGGGGGAAAAAAUCUGUGCAGAGUAGCGUGUCCAAGUUCGUUGAGAUCUUGCUGGUGUCGACUCCCGAAAAUCCUAACAACUGCAUGAUCCUGCUCGUUUCGUGGAUAGAAGCUGCGCGAGGAACAUGACGACUAUUCGCUGGUAUGAGUUUGUGACUCCCUUAAAAGUUGAAAGUUGAAAUUGAACUGAAUCUGCCCCCACAUCACCCUGGCCCAUCUGGCUGCUGGCACGUGAGCUGCCACUUGAUCGUCGCUGUGCUCUGCAUCUAGUUCAAUGAUGCAGAGCUCUUGGACUCGGAGGCGGAAUCAUCAGAGAUCUCUACAAGUUCAGGAUUCAAAUAUGAAUUGAUGUUCGGGUCGGAUUCUGGAUUGCAACUUUGCAAGAAUGAAGUCAAUUCGACGGUUGUCAGUUUGCCACCGUCGUACUUGCAGAAGCAAAUGCAGAGAGGGAAGAACCAUCGAUGAAAUCGGGACUGAUCGAAUCGAGCAGAACAAAAUCCUCUCCAUGGAUUGAUCUUUGAAGAACAAGACGAGCACAUCGAGUCCGCGUUUAAUUACAUUUACAUGACGACAAGGCCGGGCGCCCAAUCUAAUCAGGUAGCUAGCUAUAGCAGGAGUAGGGCGUGGCGGUGCUGGCGGCACCCCUGGCGUCGGAGGGGACGAGCACGAGCAGGACUUGGAUGGCAAAGAUGGCGACGGGCACGAGCAGGAAGAGCGGUGGCGACGGCGGGAGCGGGGGCAGCGGCGGCAGCAGCAUCAGCAGCGUGGCCAUCACGCACGCCAGUAGAGCCGCCACCUCCGCGCCCAGGUAGCUUCCCCGAUGCCC